GAUGUCAUGCCUGACCAUAUGACUUGCUCCAGCCAAUGAAAUGUAAGCAGAAGUGACAUAUGCAGCAUGACCAGUGGAAGCUUCGAAGAGCUAUUGCCAAUUUCCACCCUCUCUCUGGAAACUGUCAUUAGGGUUAGGGAAACUGUCAUGAGAUCUGCAUAUUUUAGAUAGAGGCUGCUUGCCUUAUUUGGGCACCUAAUGAAAAAGACAUGGAGGCCAGGUGCGGUGGCUCAUGUCUGUAAUCCCAGCACUUUGGGAGGCCAAGGCGAGUGGAUCACCUGAGGUCAGGAGUUCGAGACCAGCCUGACCAACAUGGCAAAACCCCGUCUGUACUAAAAGUGCAAACACAAAGGGAACUGCGUGGCUUGUUUCUACCUGAACAUUGUCAAGUGAUUUCAUCCUUUGAAACACAGUUGUGAAGUGUGUCCAGCAGUCUGAGAACAAGAAGAAGAAGAAAAUCUAAUCCUUCAGGGUGUCUGUGUGCCAGCCCUGCUCUCAGCACUUCCCAUGUGGAACUCCUUUACUUCUCCUAACAACUCCAUGACAUGGGUUAGACUGUGAUUGUUCCCAUAUUGUUGGUAGGGAAACUGAGGCAUGCAGGUGUUACAGAGCUCUCUCAAGUGGCAAGCUUUCUGGGUGGUUACAGAGUGGCAGAGCUGGGGUAUCCCAUGAUGUCACCACACUGCUAUAUGGAAAAGAACAUUAAUCGAGCACCUACGUGCUUGAUUCUCUUAAUUCUGUGACUGAACUCUCAAAACACCCUGGCAGAGCACUGCGUGUUUUGAAAUAUACAAAUAGUGGGAAACGAAAUCUUUGUUCUGGAUGCAGUUAUAAUUUGGAAAGCGAGGAAAUAAAUUAUAACAAGGGGAAAAAACAGACACAGAGGGAUUGAAAUGCAUAACAAUAGAGAUGAAACACGAAGAGUGAUAAAUGAAGAUUGAGUGUGCACACCUUCUGGAGGAGCCCUGAUUGAGUAUUUUAAAAUACUACUAAAGUCAUGCCGUGUGACUUCUGAAGCUAGCUCCUAAGAAGUCCUUGCAGCUUCUGCCUGCGACUCUUAGAACACUUGCUUUGAAGGAUGCCAGAUGCUGUCUUAAAAGUCUGAGCACUCUGAAACCAUCAUGCUGUGAGGAAGCCCAAGCUAACCACAUGGGCAAAAAAGAUGCCCUCUGACUGCCACCAUUUGAGACACUCUAAUUAAGAACUGCCUCAUUGAGCCCAUGAGGCCCUGUGAAUGAUAAUAAUAAAUUGUUUUUAACCACUAUGUUUUUGGAUUUGUUAUAAGUUUAUAGAUAACAAGAAAAAGUUAUAUUAGCAUGGUAAUAAAAUUAUGGAUAUGUGU
rnacentral:lncRNA from 1 species